UGAAGCGGGAAAAGCUCAAAUUUAAAAUCUGGCUGCCUCCGGUGGUCCGAGUUGUAAUCUGGAGAAGCGUUUUCCGCGUCGGACCGUGUACAAGUCUUCUGGAACGGAGCGUCAUAGAGGGUGAGAAUCCCGUCUCUGACACGGACUACCGAUGCUUUUGUGAUGCGCUCUCGAAGAGUCGAGUUGUUUGGGAAUGCAGCUCAAAAUGGGAGGUAAAUUCCUUCUAAAGCUAAAUAUUGGCUAGAGACCGAUAGCGAACAAGUACCGUGAGGGAAAGAUGAAAAGCACUUUGGAAAGAGAGUUAAACAGUACGUGAAAUUGUUGAAAGGGAAACGCUUGAAGUCAGUCGCGUUGAUCGAGACUCAGCCUGGCUUGCCUGGUGUACUUCUCGGUUGACGGGUCAGCAUCAGUUUUGACCGCCGGAUAAAGGUUGGAGGAAUGUGGCAUCCUUCGGGAUGUGUUAUAGCCUCUGAUUCGCAUACGGCGAUUGGGACUGAGGAACUCAGCACGCCUUUAUGGUCGGGGUUCGCCCACGUAACGUGCUUAGGAUGCUGGCAUAAUGGCUUUAAGCGACCCGUCUUGAAACACGGACCAAGGAGUCUAACAUGCCCGCGAGUGUUUGGGUGUCAAACCCGAGCGCGUAAUGAAAGUGAAAGUUGAGAUCCCUGUCGUG
rnacentral:rRNA from 1 species